UGGGCCUCAGGUCAUGGCUGUGGGGCAGUCUAGGUGGCGGCGGUGAUGUCACAGCUGCAGUGCCCUUCGCGGAGGUGCGAACGUCGGAGCUCAGAGUGGGAGUCAGAACAGGAAGCAACAGCUGCUCACACCUGGCCUCACCCCAAGGCGCUGGUGCUCACAGCACAGGCCCGGCGGGCAGCGCGGGACGGCCGUGUGGCUACCGGGCACUGGGACAAGUGAUUUUCCGCAGUUCUGUCCGGGUG
rnacentral:lncRNA from 1 species